AAUUAUCAACUCCAAAUUCUUGGUGCUUGGUCUUGAGGGUUAUUGUAGGCUCUUUAUGAGUCAGCUCCCUUUAAAUUCAUUAGCGAGACUUCCCUUUGUUAGAGCUUUGUCUUGAUGUGAUAAAUUUAUUUGCGUCAAAUUUUUCAAAGUUCUCAUUGGGCUUGCUUCUAAUCGUCCUGAUUGGACAAUUUGGAAUUGAGUGUAUAUAUUGCAUUCUUUUCUAAUCCUA
rnacentral:misc_RNA from 1 species